rnacentral:rRNA from 1 species
UACGGAGGGUGCGAGCGUUAAUCGGAAUUACUGGGCGUAAAGGGUGCGUAGGUUGUUGAUUAAGUUAUCUGUGAAAUACCUGGGCUUAACCUGGGGCUGUCAGAUGAUACUGAUUGACUGGAGUACGGGAGAGGGUAGUGGAAUUUCUGGUGUAGCGGUGAAAUGCGUAGAGAUCAGAAGGAACACCGGUGGCGAAGGCGGCUACCUGGCCUGAUACUGACACUGAGGCACGAAGGCCAGGGUAGCAAACGGG